rnacentral:rRNA from 1 species
CCUACGGGAGGCAGCAGUGAGGAAUAUUGGUCAAUGGACGGAAGUCUGAACCAGCGAUGCCGCGUGCAGGAAGACGGCUCUAUGAAUUGUAAACUGCUUUUGUACAAGGGUAAACCUGAAUACGUGUAUUCAGCUGAAAGUACUCUACGAACAAGGAUCGGCUAACUCCGUGCCAGCAGCCGCGGUAAUACGGAGGAUUCAAGCGUUAUCCGGAUUUAUUGGGUGUAAAGGGUGCGUAGGCGGUUUGAUAAGUUAGAGGUGAAAGGUGCGGGCUUAACUCGGGAACUGCCUCUAAUACUGUUGAUCUAGAGAGUAGGUGCGGUAGGCGGAAUGUAUGGUGUAGCGGUGAAAUGCUUAGAGAUCAUACAGAACACCGGUUGCGAAGGCAGCUUAC